GUGCUAAUCUGCGAAAAGCGCCGGUAAGGGGAUAUGAACCGGUAUAACCGGCGAUGUCCGAAUGGGGAAACCCGGUGCACUUCGGUGCAUCAUCGUUAGCUGAAUACAUAGGCUAACGAGGCGAACCGGGGGAACUGAAACAUCUAAGUACCCCGAGGAAAAGAAAUCAACCGAGAUUCCCCCAGUAGCGGCGAGCGAACGGGGAACAGCCCAGAGCCUGAAUCAGCUUGUGUGUCAGUGGAACGGUCUGGAAAGGCCGGCGAUACAGGGUGACAGCCCCGUACACGAAGGCACACAGGUUGUGAGCUCGAUGAGUAGGGCGGGACACGUGAUAUCCUGUCUGAAGAUGGGGGGACCAUCCUCCAAGGCUAAAUACUCCUGACUGACCGAUAGUGAACCAGUACCGUGAGG
rnacentral:rRNA from 1 species